ACUAGCGUCCUCAUGGAUGCUAGUCGGGUUCAUUAACCACUGAGUCAUGAUGGGAACUCCCUGACUGCCUUUUUUAUGAGUUUCUGACCCAGCUAAAAUAAAACCUUUUCCACCCCAUUAGUUUAAAGAGGUGAAGUGAACUUUACAGUAAGUGUGAAAAAUUGUAAAGAGUAUAGGUAAAGUACAAAAGUAGAAGCUCCUGUGUCCAGCCAGUUGCUGGUAUUUGGGAAUACUGCCCAGUGUUGCCAGUGCUUCUGACAUUCUCAAGAGAAGUCCGGUAUACUUUCUUUGGAAUUUUUCUGUGAAAAUUUAAAGGUUGGUGACCAAUGAAAUGUAAAAACCUUGUGUUCUAAAUAAAACACAUGGGAGACCAUAUGUCACCAGUUUUCAACCUCUGGUCUAAAUGAAUAUUACUCUCUGGGUUUAUUUAAUCACUUUACUCAAUUUUAUUUAGCUUUACUUUUUUUUUUUUUUUUUUAAUUUUGCUUUCCAAGCAAGGUUUUAGCUCUGCUUGGUAAAAAUGGAAAGGGGAAAUCUUAACAGUUUGAGAAGAUGGCUACAAUGAGAUACGCUUGAUGGUGGCAUUAAUAAAAAGAAACCUCAAGAAGGGAAACUCAAGAACAGAGUGGUUCCAGAUUUUUAUUUGAUGAAAGUGUGCUUCUGGAGACACUGACUCUUCUCAGCUCCAUUUUUAGAGCAAGAAUCAUGAGCUUGCCUUGGUAGAAGAUGUGACUCAUUAGAAGUUGUGAUACAUCCUGCCAAUAAAAUCUAGCAGAUUGCACAUUAGAAGCAGAUCUCCACAUGAAUGUAGCAGCUUUAUUCAAAAUUGUCAGAUACAGGAAGCAACCAAGGUGUCCUUCAAUAGUUCUAUACCAGAAGAAAAACAUAGUGAUUAAGUGAACCUUGGUGAAAACCAAGCUUCCAGCAUUUUCUUAAGACAAUGAAGAUUGAAGGAUUCAGUAAACUGUAAAGUGGUGUGUGAAAGGUAAUGUUUAAUUAUAUUUUAAUCCCUGUGAGAAUAUGAGUUAGAGAUGUGGGAAAUCAACAGAUUGUUGAAGAUGCUAAGGCCAUUUUAGGUCAUCUUUCACAAGACCAGGAUCAAAAUGAAAUUAAAGUCUUCAAAAAAAGGAUCAGGAUACUCUUCCAUUUUGUAGCUUCCUCCUGCAGACUUUAAGGGAAGGUCUAAAAAUCUCUUCCGUUCACAAAGUGAAGGAUCAACAGAGCCUUUUUAGAUAACUUUUGCCUUAAACUUAUCACUGUACUUAUCUGAAUGCUGGGGCACCCACCUCUAUUGUUCAAACCUUUUUCCUUCCUGUUGAUAAGGUAUAAUCACAUUAGAUUAGAUUCAAGUCUUCUAUUUUCCCACUGUGAAUGCUUUCAUGGAGGUUGUGAUUAAAGAAAGUUUCACCAUUUGCCCAAUAAAGCAUGGAUAAGCACCUCCAAUUUUCCUCAAAGGCAGACAUAUAAAAUUGCAUAAAAUGCAACAAUAGGGCUAAAGUAAAA